CGCACGCGCACAGCACUCCCCGGGCGUGAGCUGCAGCGCGGCCGGGUCCGGGGGGGACCGAAGGAGGGACUCACGGAAGGGGAAGAAAAGCUGGUGUCUCACUCCGCAGGCAGCAACCGUGUAGGAAGACGGGGUGAAGGAGGCCCCGCCGCUCGCCCGGGGUCCCGGCUGGCUCUCCGGAGACGCGGGGAGCCGGGGGCGGGGCACGGGUGCACGAGCGCGUCGCGCGCCGCCCGGAAGGCAAAUCCAGACGCAUCCCUAAAUUGUGAGAAAUGUCUCAUAUAUUCAAAUUUCAAAUGACUGGACUUGGAAAUAAAAAUCAUGGCAAAAAUGAGACUUUUAAUAACAUUCCCAAGAGCAUGAGCGUCCAUUUUAUAGGAUCACCAAAAGACCUAACAUGUAAUGUCAGAAGCCAAUUUCAGCAUGUCAUAAUUGCAAGAGUUUUGUCAAAAGCCUUUCUCCAGAUUGCUGAACCCUUCGUAAUGCUGGGACAAGAACACCAACAUUAAUGGCCGCCCGAACUGGGGCUUGAACCCUGGAAACACCAACAUUAAUGGCGUGCUUCUGGAGAAAGAAGGAUUCGUCUGAGCGGAAACAACACCAGUGAUGGUGGUUAAGAUUAACUAUGUGUAGAGCCCAUGUCAGCUUCAGAACCCCGUGGAUCCGCAAAAAACUCCAAGCCCCUGUGGAUUCCUGCAACAAUGGAUACCAGAGAGGAAUUGACAGGACUGCUGCAGCCACAGAAAUAGCAGUGGCCCCGAAGAACAAAGGAGAAACAGUACAGAAGUGAAAAUAAUGAAGAUGCCUUGUCAUGCUAGCAGUCAGCAGCUGUGCAUCGCUGCAGGUUGCCCAGGACCAAACCAGAGAGGGUCAGACCUGCUUUGCCACCAUUUGUCUACCAUCCAGAACUGAAAUAUCAUUGCUGACAUGUACACAUGAGGAACUGUUGGACAUUGAAAUUGGGACUCAAAGAACUGUUGGCCCAGAAAGAAACUGACUACAGGCUAAUUCCUUUAAUGCCUGACAGCAAUUUAAAGGGACUUGAUAGAACUCUGUCCUUUCCAUUGAAUUUAAAAAUUUUAAAACAUACAUUCUUGUUUAAUUUAAAAAAUCAAAAAGGGUGAGAUGCCGGAAGCCAGUUUCAGCAUGUCAUAAUUGCAAGAGUUUUGUAAAAAGGUUGAAGCUAGUGGGGCUCAACAAGGGUGAGCCACAUAUGUAGUUUACCUGUUGGAACGGCUGCAAAGGCACUUCCCCCAAACCUGAAUAGGAUUGUUAACUGCCAGACAGCUCAGGGCAUCUCAGUCUACAUGUUAUUGCCUCCUGUUGGCCAAACACCUGAACAGCUGUAGGUUAUUCCCCAAUCUGACAAUGCUUCUGUACCCUACCCUUUGAAACCCUACCCUUUGAAGUGUAUUAUCUCCACCUUGCCUUAGGACAAAUUGUGUUAAUAAGAAGCACUGGGUUCUGAGUCAAGGGGUAGUCUUGAGCUUCUUUAGCUGAAGCUCCUCUGACUCCCAUUGCCUUUCAACACUACCUUUCGUCUUUGGACUCCUUAUUGAAUCUAUGCGCAGCUCCUUUCUCCAGAUUGCUGAACCCUUCGUAAUGCUGGGACAAGAACCCCGGCAAUGUAAAGGGCAAAAUAUUUUGUUCACUUAAUUUGGAAAUAAUAAAAAUGUUAAUAUAGCAA